AGGACUAGCUGUGGAUCCUAAGAAGCAGAGAUGAGGAGGAAGAACAUUCUAGGCAUGGAAAACAGAUUAGCCUAGGUCUCAGGAGGACUACAGGUGAGGGGAUGUCACAAAUUCUCAAGUCUGGUCAGAUCAAUUCACUGGGAUUGGUUUGCAUUUCUCCUAGAAGGGACUUGAUGAACAACUCUCUACACAUCAGUGCAAAAGCAACUUUGAAACAUUUAAUGACCAGCCAUCAUUCCAGAGGCUAAUGAUGAAGAAUGCUACCCACCUCCAGUCAAAGAAAUGAUGGACUAAAUAUGCAGAAUGAGACAUAUACUUUUGGACAUGGCCAAUGUGGGAAUUUAAUAUGCUUGACAAUGAAUACUUGUUACAAAUUUUUUUUGGUAAGAAGGAUGUGGGGGAGAUGAGAGGGAGAGAAAAUAAAUGUUCUUUAAAAUUUUUUAACUUAAUUUUUAAAAGAAAGAUUUAAGAACUCUGAUUGCUGCAAUGUCCAGGCAAGACUGGUGGAGUGAUGUUGAAGCUACUCAUUUACAAUCAAUAAACUCAGGGUACAAAAUGAUA